CCCAUCAAACAUGCAUAUGCUAAUGCUGUUGACAGUAAGAAGACAUCUGAUUGCUGACAUUAAUCAUUAACCCAACCCAAAGGGCAGCUUUACAUUGCCAAUGAUAUUUCAAAUCUCCCAGAGGAUAGCGCGUUCAAAUGGCUGGGGUGGUUCGAAUCCCCCCCAGAUCCCUAGUUCUGGCAGUGGAAAUGAAGAAGGCAGUAGACUGGUGUUUCAGAACAAAAGAACCUCUGCACUUAUUAAGCACAAAAAAAGAAUUUGGGGAUUUUUGUUCAAUAAUCCCUGAUGAUCCUUAUGAGCAAAGACUAAACAGAUUGGGACGCUACUCACUGGACUUUAGA